rnacentral:rRNA from 1 species
AAAUGAUUUCUUCGGAAUGAACUUAAGUGGAUUAGUGGCGCAACGGGUGAGUAACACGUGAGUAACCUGCCUUACACAAGGGGAUAGCCUCUGGAAACGGAGAACUAAUACCCUAUAAAGUCUAAUCAGCCCAUGCUGGAAAGACCCAAAGAUUUAUCGGUGUAAGAUGGACUUGCGUCUGAUUAGCUAGUUCGGUGAGAUAAAAAGCUCACCAAGGGCGGAACCGAAUCAAGUAAGCCCGGGUUUGGAAAACAAUGUGGUCACCGGGGCCCCUAAUGGGGACCUCUGAGAAGCACAUGGGGCCCCAAAGAUCUCUCAUCAGCGGGAGAGGCGCAAACAGUGGAAGCAAUGGCACAAGUGGGAGAGAACACCCUGAUGCAGCGACGCCGCGUGAUUUAGAAGGCCUUCGGGUUGUAAAAAUCUUUUUUACGGGAUGAAAAUGACAGUACCGUAAGAAUAAGGUCCGGCUAAAUACGUGCCAGCAGCCGCGGUAAUACGUAUGGACCGAGCGUUGUCCGGAAUCAUUGGGCGUAAAGGGUACGUAGGCGGCCUAGUAAGUUAGAAGUUAAAGAAUAUAGCUCAACUAUAUAAAGCUUUUAAAACUGCUAGGCUUGAGAGAUGGAAGGGAAAGUGGAAUUCCUAGUGUAGCGGUGAAAUGCGCAGAUAUUAGGAAGAAUACCGGUGGCGAAGGCGACUUUCUGGUCAUCAUCUGACGCUGAGGUACGAAAGCGUGGGUAGCAAACAGGAUUAGAUACCCUGGUAGUCCACGCUGUAAACGAUGAGUGUUAGGUUUCUUGGAAUAUCUGGGGCCGCAGCUGAACGCAUUAAACACUCCGCCUGGGGAGUACGCACGCAAUGU